GUCUUUACGUCGGCAAGACAAAUUCUAGAAUUGGAACGAUGCAGAGAAGCUUAGCAUGACCUUUGCGCAAGGAUAAAUAGAAUCUUGGGGAGGCUGAUCGCUUCAUU